AUCAACUUUCGAUGGUAGGAUAGAGGCCUACCAUGGUGGUAACGGGUAACGGGGUGUUAGGGCACGACACCGGAGAGGGAGCCUGAGAAACGGCUACCACAUCCAAGGAUGGCAGCAGGCGCGCAAAUUACCCAAUCCCGACACGGGGAGGUAGUGACAAUAAAUAACAAUACGGGGUUCUUUCGGAUUUCGUAAUUGGAAUGAGUACAAUUUAAAUCUCUUAACGAGGAACAAUUGGAGGGCAAGUCUGGUGCCAGCAGCCGCGGUAAUUCCAGCUCCAAUAGCGUAUAUUAAAGUUGUUGCAGUUAAAAAGCUCGUAGUUGAACUUCGGGGUUUACUCAUUGGUCAGGCUUAAUUGUCUGCACUGUGAGAUGAAUCUCUACCUUCUGAGGAACUUUCAUGCCAUUUAUUUGGUGUGAUUGGAAAUCAGGACUGUUACUUUGAAAAAAUUAGAGUGUUUAAAGCAGGCUAACGUCUGAAUACAUUAGCAUGGAAUAAUGAAAUAGGACGGACUGAUUCUAUUUCGUUGGUUUCUAGGAUCACCGUAAUGAUUAAUAGGGAUAGUUGGGGGCAUUAGUAUUCAAUUGUCAGAGGUGAAAUUCUUGGAUUUAUUGAAGACUAACUACUGCGAAAGCAUUUGCCAAGGAUGUUUUCAUUAAUCAAGAACGAAAGUUAGGGGAUCGAAGACGAUCAGAUACCGUCGUAGUCUUAACCAUAAACUAUGCCGACUAGGGAUCGGACGAAGUUAAUUUUAUAAUGACGCGUUCGGCACCUUACGGGAAACCAAAGUGUUUGGGUUC
rnacentral:rRNA from 1 species